GGGGAGGGUCGCUUAUUGGAGAGAGGAACGACUUAAUGUAUUUAUAUGUGAAGGGGGAGGGAUUAUUAGAGAAAGAAGGUGUUAAUAAAUUUCUUUUUCUGGAAAGGUUGACAUUGAUUAUUAGAGAGGGAGCUUUUCGAGUGGGGUUUUAAUAAAGGAUUUAUAGUAACACACACCCGCUAGCCUCACGACGUCCCUGGCUGAAUGUAUAUAUAUAUAUAUAGUAAUUUGCAUGAGAAAUAUUUGAAUAUAAUCUUAUCAGUAUUGCUUGCUUUGUAGAGGGGGGAAAUACGGAAAUACUUAUUUUGAAAUUGACAGCGUAAUGCACCUAAAUUGCAUUUGUUAUAUAGUUAGUGUCAAAGUUUAAUUUUUCUGUUUGCCGAUUGGUCAAAACCGUUUCGACAAUGAAACAUUUAUUGACCGGUCAACAAUAGAAUGGGUGCAAUACGCAUGCGCGUCAACCAUGAAGUUCCAAAGCUCAUUUUUUAAACUUUUUAUUAAACAUUUACGGCGUUCCAUUUAUCCAGUUUUGGUUUCAAAUUAAGUUCACUCCGAUAACCGGUGAAUUAUUCAUACUUUGACACUUAUGUACUAUAUAACAAAACACUCAACAACGGCAGUCUUGGGUCCACAAAUCCCGCUGUUUUUCUCGGUCUCAGUAAAUAAGUGAUAAUUAAAUUCGCGUAGUUCCAAUUUUCGCUCAGUCUUAAUUAAAUUCGCGCGAUAUAAUUUCGCCCCCAAAAUGCGAUAUUUUUGCGCAGAUUUAACGUUGCCGACCCUUUAAGUUGUGGGUCGUAAGACGGUAGAAAAAAUCACAAUUCAACCUCAUAUCAAUUAGGGUCUUAUAUCCGCUCCCUGGCAAGCAACGAGAGCGAAUAUAAGGGCCUGGGAACGACGUUGAUUUAAAUUGUGAUUUUUCCGUGUUAAAAUGACACUGGCAACUUACAAUUUUCACAAACGUUCUUGUCACUAAUGAUCACGUCAUCUGAAAUCGAAAAAUCCCAAGAGAAAAUCAGCAGGACAGUUUCUUUUAUAUGUGAUUGAAUCCAAAAAUCUAAUGCCAAAUAUUCUAACACUGCGCGAAUAUAAAUACAAGUAAAGUAUGAUAUAUGUUUAGUAGUUUGCAAAAUAAAUAUUUGAAUGUAAUCUUGUCAAUAGUGCUUGCUUUGAUAAAAAAAAUAUAAAAGCAAAAAUGUAGAAAUAGUUAUUUUGAACGGACAGUUUGAGCAUACUGCUGUAGUUUUAAUCAUACAGUGACUUUUUAAGUAAUUUCAUUGUAUCGAAAUACAAUAAUUAAAGUUUGUAAAAACUUGAAAUAUAUUUUGUCAUUCACACUGUGUCCACUUUAAUUGUGUUAUCCACGUUUUUAAUAUAAAGAAAAACUCACAUAAAAGAACCACUCUAUUUUGUUGUCAGGCUGAAAUUGAUGGGCACUUGUAAUGCAGG